UAAGAACCAUGGUUGAUGGAACAAUUAGAGCAUAGCCACCGACGAACGCCACACUCCAAGAGGAGCCGCGGCUGGCUGGACGGCGGUCGGAUGAUCGGCUGGUGGCGAUCUAAGCAGCGUAGGCCGCUGCUUGCCAUGUGUCACCGCUGGAGGAUUUUAAUCUUGGCCGGUGAUUGGCUAUCUCCACUUGGAAAACACUAUGUUGUUUCAUGAAAAGGAAAGUGGGAUGGAGGGGAAGAUCGACCUAUGUACUAUCCCUUCCCCUCAAUAGAUUUUAUUUGCUGAAAUCUAGCUUAAAAUAUGUGACUUAAUUAUAUGUACACUGCCUCUUGAUUUUUUGACUUUUCUAUGCAAGCUAUUAUUUUCUAAAUAGAUGAGUUAUUUAUAGGAGGCUUUUUGAGACAAUCGUUGAUGGGAGCAGCUGCUAAUGAAUUUUAUUUGCA